AAGCCACCUUGGCCAUUGGUGGCACUUUUUGGGAGCACAGCUCCAGGAGGUGUGAUGCAAGGGAGGUUUAUGCCCCUUCUUGACUGAUGAAUCCAAGCUAAGUAAAGGCUAAAGGAAAUUGACUCCCAUGCUUGUAGGCUCUGAGGGCUCCCUGGAAUGCAGGAUGGACCAUGGCCUCUGCUUGAAAAUAAGCUCUUGGCCUCUUCCAGAUGCUUUAAAGCUAUAUGGAAACUCUGAAUGAACGAGAUCCUAGAAGCCAGGCUUAUAUCAACUCCAACUGAUGGCAGAGAAGGCAAGAACGCUUCUGACUUAAAGUCAGAUAGGCCUUGAAGCCUGUGCCAGAGCACUCUUCUCUGGACUCCAGGUGUAUAUUUUGGCCAGGAAUAUGGAUAGAAUUCCUAAUGCUUUCGAGAAGAGGGUGUUGGAGUGGGACUCGUCACAGUGC